CCUACGGGGGGCUGCAGUGGGGAAUCUUGCGCAAUGGGGGGAACCCUGACGCAGCGACGCCGCGUGAAGGAAGAAGGUCUUCGGAUUGUAAACUUCUUUGACCGGGGACGAAGGAAGUGACGGUACCCGGGGAACAAGCCACGGCUAACUACGUGCCAGCAGCCGCGGUAAUACGUAGGUGGCAAGCGUUGUCCGGAAUUACUGGGUGUAAAGGGCGUGUAGGCGGGGAUGCAAGUCAGAUGUGAAAAGCCAUGGCUUAACUGUGGUCUUGCAACUGAAACUGUAUCUCUUGAGUACUGGAGAGGGAAGUGGAAUUCCUAGUGUAGCGGUGAAAUGCGUAGAGAUUAGGAGGAACACCAGUGGCGAAGGCGGCUUCCUGGCCAGAGACUGACGCUGAGGCGCGAAAGCGUGGGGAGCAAACAGGAUUAGAUACCCGAGUAGUC
rnacentral:rRNA from 1 species